CCUACGGGGGGCAGCAGUGGGGAAUAUUGGGCAAUGGAGGAAACUCUGACCCAGCAAUGCCGCGUGAAUGAAGAAGGUCUUCGGAUUGUAAAGUUCUUUAGUCAGGGAAGAAUAAAAUGACGGUACCUGACGAAUAAGCUCCGGCUAACGACGUGCCAGCAGCCGCGGGAAUACGUAGGGAGCAAGCGUUGUUCGGAAUGACUGGGCGUAAAGGGUGCGUAGGCGGUUAUACAAGUUAGAAGUGAAAUACCCAGGGCUUAACUCGGGUGCUGCUUCUAAAACUGUAAGACUUGAGUGCAGUAGAGGUUAGUGGAAUUCCUAGUGUAGCGGUGGAAUGCGUAGAUAUUAGGAGGAACACCAGAGGCGAAGGCGGCUAACUGGACUGCAACUGACGCUGAGGCACGAAAGUGUGGGGAGCAAACAGGAUUAGAUACCCCUGUAGUC
rnacentral:rRNA from 1 species